rnacentral:rRNA from 1 species
GGAAGAACCAAGGCCUUAAAAUGGGGGCACCUUGCGGGUACCUAACCAAAGCCCAGGCUAAAUACGUGCCCAGCAGCCGCGGUAAUACGUAGGUGGCAAGCGUUGUCCGGAAUUAUUGGGCGUAAAGGGCUCGCGGCGGUUUCUUAAGUCUGAUGUGAAAGCCCCCGGCUCAACCGGGGAGGGUCAUUGGAAACUGGGGAACUUGAGUGCAGAAGAGGAGAGUGGAAUUCCACGUGUAGCGGUGAAAUGCGUAGAGAUGUGGAGGAACACCAGUGGCGAAGGCGACUCUCUGGUCUGUAACUGACGCUGAGGAGCGAAAGCGUGGGGAGCGAACAGGAUUAGAUACCCUGGUAGUCCACGCCGUAAACGAUGAGUGCUAAGUGUUAGGGGGUUUCCGCCCCUUAGUGCUGCAGCUAACGCAUUAAGCACUCCGCCUGGGGAGUACGGUCGCAAGACUGAAACUCAAAGGAAUUGACGGGGGCCCGCACAAGCGGUGGAGCAUGUGGUUUAAUUCGAAGCAACGCGAAGAACCUUACCAGGUCUUGACAUCCUCUGACAAUCCUAGAAAUAGGACGUCCCCCUUCGGGGGCAAUGAACAGGUGGUGCAGGGUUGUCUCCACUCUGUCUGGAGAGUUUGGGUUAAUCCCCGCAACAGAGGCAACCCUUGAAUCUUAUUGCCA